rnacentral:rRNA from 1 species
UCAUAUCAAUAAGCGGAGGAAAAGAAACCAACAGGGAUUGUCUUAGUAACGGCGAGUGAAGCGACAAAAGCUCAAAUUUGAAAUCUGGCACCUUCGGUGUCCGAGUUGUAAUUUGAAGAAGGUAACUUUGGAGUUGGCUCUUGUCUAUGUUCCUUGGAACAGGACGUCACAGAGGGUGAGAAUCCCGUGCGAUGAGAUGUCCAACUCUAUGUAAAGUGCUUUCGAAGAGUCGAGUUGUUUGGGAAUGCAGCUCUAAGUGGGUGGUAAAUUCCAUCUAAAGCUAAAUAUUGGCGAGAGACCGAUAGCGAACAAGUACAGUGAUGGAAAGAUGAAAAGAACUUUGAAAAGAGAGUGAAAAAGUACGUGAAAUUGUUGAAAGGGAAGGGUUUGAGAUCAGACUUGGUAUUUUGUAUGUCUUGCUUUCGGGUGGGGCCUCUGCAGUUUACUGGGCCAGCAUCGGUUUGGACGGUGGGAUAAUGACAUUGGAAUGUGGCACUACUUCGGUGGUGUGUUAUAGACUUUGUUGAUACUACCUGUCUAGACCGAGGACUGCGUCUUUGACUAGGAUGCUGGCAUAAUGAUCCUAAACCGCC